rnacentral:lncRNA from 1 species
CUUAUCUUAAGAGGAGAGUAAAGCAUUAAAGAAAGAAAUGGAAGACGUGACUUAAACGCUAUGGAGUCUAACAUCCAAAUUUGCAUAAAGCCUGCAGGGAAAUUUAAGUCAAAUGUCAAGUAAUUAAAGCAUGAAAGCUAUGGCAAAACCCUAGUCUCAACUACUUCCUUCUUAUUCUUCUGCAUAUUAAUACAUAAUAUUUCAUGACCUCUCAUAGUCUCAGAGUACUGAAAAGAGAAGCAUUUAAGGGGUUGUCAGAUAGAAACAGAAAAAGCCUUAUUCUUAGGCUUCAAAGGGGAACUAUAUCAUUGAAAUCUAACUGGAAAAAAGAAAAAGAAAUUGAAAAAAAGUUAUUGAAACCUAACAAUUUUUUUUAAUUUAUAUAUGCAUAUGAUAUUUGAACCAGUUUCUUGCACAAAUGCAUGGUUCGAUCUUUUCUCGGAACUCGUACAUAACGAGAACUUAGCGCAUCGGGCUGCCCUUUAUAUGAUAUUUGAAACUCAUAGACCUAAAAAAUUCAUAUUCACAUCGCGUAGGAUCACUAAAAGAAGUGUUUCCUAUUAAGAUAUGAACUUGAGACAUCGAUUAAGAAUAAAAAAUUUUCUUCCUUUCCGAUUGCACUUAUUGGUGGUGAAACCUAACAAAGAAAAAUGACUAAGACAAUGACCUAACUAUUAACAAAUUCACACUCACAUAAAUAAGUGCUUUCCAUGAGAUCCGAACCCGGGAUAUCUGAUUAAAAAUGUGAAACUGCAAAGGAAUGAAUAACCACUUGAAAUUGUUUGAAAAGAAUCUUAUAAUUAGAGCUCAAAAUGGUGUUUAAAAGUGCUCAUUUGUAUUAUUACUACUAACAUAGUAACUACACCGAGAAAAACUAUGGAACACAUAGAAAUCCUCGUGUUCCUCUUUUCAAAGAGUUUUUUUUUAAUUUGACAGUUUCAAAGUGUUAAGCUCUAACCUCAUGUCACCAAACAAAUUACUAUUUCUUAAAUCAACUUCAAAGAAUGGUUAUUAGGAUUCCUAUUCUUAAAAAAAAAAUUGUUUGAAAAAAUAUAGUUUUCAAUUGGCUCAAUCGAUUUAGUCAAUAAUUAAAAGAUCCAACCUAAGCAACUUAAUAAUUUUUGACUUACAUAUAUACCCAAUAUAAGUUUCUAUAUAUAGUAUAGUUUUUCGAUGAAGGGUGUCCAGUUGACUACCCUUCAAUCACUACAAAAAUAAAUUGAAAUUAGCUACGAAUGUAGUCGCUAAUUUAUCGCUAAAACGCUCGUAGCUAGCAGAAUUUCUUGAUAAUUCGUCGCUAAAAAUGAGAUUAGCGACAAAUAUUUCUGUUUAGCUACAGAAUUUUCUUGUCGCUAAAAUCUGAUUUUUUACUAGUGAAUGUAUGUCGCUACGUUACUGAGUACACCUAAUUACACACCGGUUAAUGUAAGAACUAGUAUAAGUAAAGGAUCAAAAGGAAGUGUACAUGGCAUGAAGAGAUAUCAUGAUAUUGUCCAGAAUGCAGAAGAUGAAUUGAUUUGUCAAGUGGUUAUGAUUAUGCAAGGAAGUCAAGUGAGACUGCUACAAUGGAAAAAUUAUACUUAAUUAAAUUAAAAGAUUUGACUUAUAUAUAUAUAUAUAUAUAUAUAUGAUCAUAAAGAACUCAGUAGAGAAAGUAAUUACCUGAAAAUUGUGAGUGAAAUUUGUGAAGAGAAGAUAGCAAAAAGCAAGAAGAAGCCAUAGAACUCAGGAUGGAUAGCGCCAAAGUAAUUGAUAGUUUUAUGGGAAAGAACCAAAUUCAGAAGAAAAUAAAAACAAAACGAAAGAUUCAAAAAUAAAAAACCAACAUAUAUCACAUCAUUUUCAUUGGUGCUAUCCCUCCUGAGCUUUACAGAUUCCUCCAUACUUUAUAUAAAUAUGUAUUUUUUAUUCAUGUAUUCAUUUAGCUCCGGCUAAAAAUACGUGGAUCUAGAGAACCUGGUUCGGAAAUAACUUCUUAUUAGCAGGAGCUAAUCACAGUAAGAGAAUCCAUCCUCUGAAAUAGAAGUUUUUUC